rnacentral:rRNA from 1 species
UGGGGAAUCUUGGACAAUGGGGGCAACCCUGAUCCAGCCAUGCCGCGUGAGUGAUGAAGGCCUUAGGGUCGUAAAGCUCUUUCGCCUGUGAAGAUAAUGACGGUAGCAGGUAAAGAAACCCCGGCUAACUCCGUGCCAGCAGCCGCGGUAAUACGGAGGGGGUUAGCGUUGUUCGGAAUUACUGGGCGUAAAGCGCACGUAGGCGGACCAGAAAGUUGGGGGUGAAAUCCCGGGGGCUCAACCCCGGAACUGCCUCCAAAACUAUUGGUCUAGAGUUCGAGAGAGGUGAGUGGAAUUCCAAGUGUAGAGGUGAAAUUCGUAGAUAUUUGGAGGAACACCAGUGGCGAAGGCGGCUCACUGGCUCGAUACUGACGCUGAGGUGCGAAAGUGUGGGGAGCAAACAGGAUUAGAUACCCUGGUAGUCCACGCCGUAAAACGAUGAAUGCCAGUCGUCGGAUAGCAUGCUAUUCGGUGACACACCUAACGGAUUAAGCAUUCCGCCUGGGGAGUACGGUCGCAAGAUUAAAACUCAAAGGAAUUG